UACGAAGGGGGCUAGCGUUGCUCGGAAUCACUGGGCGUAAAGCGCACGUAGGCGGCUUUUUAAGUCAGAGGUGAAAUCCUGGAGCUCAACUCCAGAACUGCCUUUGAUACUGGAGAGCUUGAGUCCGGGAGAGGUGAGUGGAACUGCGAGUGUAGAGGUGAAAUUCGUAGAUAUUCGCAAGAACACCAGUGGCGAAGGCGGCUCACUGGCCCGGUACUGACGCUGAUGUACGAAAGCUUAGAGAGCAAACAGG
rnacentral:rRNA from 1 species